CUCCAGCCUUGUUAACAGAGGAAGCCACUGUCUCAAACAAACAAACAAAGUAUUAUAGUUAACAGCUUAUUAUAGAAACUGUAUAAAAAGAAGCUUAUUUUGAUAGAAAGAUGAUGCAAAAGAUUAUAAUAGUUUAUGUAUUAUAAUGAGGGAUAUAGCAGUGUUACACAAGAGAAAUAAAAGAGAAUACAUAUUAUGAGUUCAGUUGUGGGCAAAAAUAAUAUAAAGAACUUUAAUGGAAAAAGACUUUAACUGGGGCUUUACCAUUUAAGAAUGGUGGGUAGAAUUUGGAUAUAUAAAGAUGUUUCUACCAUGAACAAAUAAUAUUUAUAGAGAGACAAAGAUAAAAAAGGUCCAGUCUUUUUUAGGAUGCAAAAGGUGAUCAUUUUGAUUAUUGCAAAGGAAUCAUGUAAAUAAGAUAGACGGUAAGAAUAAACAGUUAAAUUUGGGUCAUAUUUUUGAAUUUCCUAGUAAAAUAUUAAAGAGAUGGUAGUUCUAGCUUCUCUCACAAAUACAAAAUAUGUGUCUGUAAAAAAAAAUUCUAUUUUAAUGACCUUUUCAGGUUAAAAUCAUACAAAAGAGACAAUGUGGGAGAUGGAGCAGAUUUACCUAAAUAAAUUAUGUUAUUAUGACAUUCUGUAUCCUUAUCAUGUUACAUGUAUUACAUUAGACUACCUGUUUUAAUGGCUUAAGUCAUGGUUUAUUUUCCCAGACUGUCAUAUAUCAAACACUUAGAAAAUGUUUAAUUAAUAAAUAAAUAUUUCUGGCUUUGGAAUAUAAAGUUGAUUACAAUAUGGGUUUUGAAUCUUAUAAGUAAGCUUACAUUAAAACAAAUUAUCAGUGUUAACUGGAACUUUGUUUUGGGAGUAUCAAACAAGUUUUUAAAAUCAUUUAUCUGGGAUGAUAAUAUGGUUUAGCUGUGUCCCCACCCAAAUCUCAUCUUGAAUUGUAACUCCCAUGUGUUGUGGAAAGGACCUAGUGGGAGGUGAUUGAACUAUGGGGACAGGCCUUUCUUGAGCUGUUCUUGUGAUAGUGAAUGAGUCUCAUGAGAUCUGAUGGUUUUAAAAAUGGGAGUUUCCCUGCACAAGCUCUCUCUUUGCCUGCCGCCAUCCAUGUUAAGAGGUGACUUGCUCUGCCUUACCUUCCACUGUGAUUGUGAGGCCUCCCCAACCAUGUGGAACUGUAAGUCGAUUAAACCUCUUUGUUUUGUAAAUUGCCCAGUCUUGGAUAUGUCUUUAUCAGCAGCAUGAAAACAGACUAGUACAGAUGAAUAGCAUUAUCUUAAAGAAAAAUGUUUAAAAAAUGAUAAAACCCAUCCCAUAAAUCUAUUAAAUUCUAGGAGUUUCUGAAGGUAGCUUGGCAAGCCUGUGAGGCAAUAUCUAUGUUCAUAUCUGUCUGCAUCAUCAAGUGUCCAGCUAAGUUAUUUUUUAAUUUAAAUGUUUUUUUUCAUGGAAAUACAAAACAAUAUGUGCUUCUUUCACAACUGGGGUUUGGAAACAGCCAAAUGAUCCGGACUGAAGGUCAGGCCUGGUUAUCUAUGCAGGUAUUCAGGGUUAAAUGCAGGUGUGCCUACGGAAGGAGUAAAAGCAGUGACAGAUAGCCUGGAUGUCGGUGAUCUAGGAGAGGAAUGUAAUUCCAGAAAAGAAUGAACCUAACAGAAAAGCAAUUAAACAGGGAUGGAAUAAUAAUUAAAAUGCAGUUAUCAUAAACCAUAAUGGUAGUAUAAUACCAACGUAUCAGUAUAGACAGGAGAAAGGCAGGUAAGCCUUUAGAAGUUAAUGCGUCAGAAAAUGUCAGAUUAGUGGCAUCUGAAAUUAUGCCAACAGGUUUGAGAAAACCCUCGAGGUGUGACCAUAGUCCAAAUACUGGGUUAGAGAAUUACUCAGGUUGAGUAUCUUUCAUUGAUCUUAACUGUGGUGAGUAUUGGUCCCAUAACAUGGGUUGAGUGAGCUUCCAGGAUGGCCUAACGUUGAUUGAUCUAAUGAAACAGUCAAAGAGGGAUAAUAAUAUACUGAAUCUACCUUGACGUGCCUUCUCAAAGUCACCAUUGUAAACAUCAGUUAUUCUACUUUGCUGUAUGUGAUGUUCAGUAAUUACUUUGUGACGUGUUAGUGUCCCAUGCCCUUCAGUCUGGAGAACAGAGCCCAUACUAUGUAGUAAAAUGGAGAGCAUGUAAAUCUCAGAACUAGUUAGCCUGUAGGAAGAACUAAAAAGCCACACAGGGGCCAUGAAGCAAUCCAAAGAAUAGCAACAGGAAGAUGUUACUAUCUUCCCUUGGGCUAUAAGGAUCAAAGAAAGAUACUUUUACCAGGGCUCACAGCCAUGAAGGCAGAUGCUGUCCAGGGAGAUGUAGAGACAUGGAAAAGACAUAGCUAAGAACACAAAUGGUAUUCCACACCAGUAGUACCCAAUGAGCUAUAAGGGACAUCCCUGCUCUGAGCUUGAUCUCUUAUUAAAAUACAUUUAUUAAAGUAUGAAAUUUAAACUAUAUAUUUUUUAGUUUCUUUGAGGUACUAUGCUUAUACCUUCUAAAAUAUAAUGGGUAUGAAGUGCAAAAUCGUAAUUAUUUUUUGUUGUGAAAACAAGACUCCAAGUAUACAAUGGAUAAAUUACUCCAUUUAAAUUUAACAUUGACUAAACAUGUUAGUCAAUUAUAUCUAUCUGUGUCAGAAUAAAAAAUCAGUCAGUUUGUCAUUAUGUUUAUCAAAACCAAUAAUUUGUUUAAAAUGUGAACUUGUGGAAGGUCAUCAAGACAAGGUAAAUUAAACAGAAAAACAUAAUAUCUUUUUCUCUUUAGCCUUUGAAACUUCUUGCCCAAUACGUUUUAAGCAAUUUACCAUUUGACAGAUUUCAGGUUUGAUGGAUUUUAUUUAUAAUUUUACUGGACAGGGUGAGAAAAGAAACUGCUUUUAAAAAAAGGCCAGAAUAUAGAGAAAUUUAUUUGUCCCACUGUUAAAGAGCUUUACAAGGGAAAUUUUUCAUUUCAGUGUUUGAAAAUCUUAUUGGGUUUCUUACUUUAGAUAAUUACUUCUUCAAAUAAAUUUUGCCCACUAAUUUCCUCUGGGACUUAACUUGCCCACUUGUCAUUCAGUAUAUUCCUAGAGAGUAACUUGUUUUGUGUUUUCUGAAAUCCAUUCCAAUUGUUAAUUCUGAUGUGAAAUCAAGAUAGCUCUCCUUUGAGAUUUCAAUUUAUUUAAAUUUCUUUUACUAAAAUUUUCUCUCUUUAUAUAGGCUGGCCACAUUUUUCAAAUAUUUGUCUUCUAAAUUACUGUAUUAACUUUCUACCUUUUAAAAUCUAUUAUAAAAACAGUAUCUUUUGUAUUUUUCCAGGAAGAAAUUAUUAUUUUUUAAUACAUUUUACUUCAUUUCUCAAUGGCUUUUUUUCUCCAGCAUGUCUUAGAGAGUUUUAGGCUAUUUCUCCAUGUGUAGCUGAAGAAUACUUACCUUAUUUUAAAGAUUCAGAAACAACACUAGACUCUAUAAUAAAAGAAAUGAUUUAUCACUCCCUGUCCAGGAAACAUCAUUAUUUUAUUUUUCUGGCUUUUGUAUCUUGUGAAAAGAUAACAACUUUAAGUUGGUUUGGUAAUGAUGCAUAUAUCGUAUUUUUUUUCUCCCUAUGACACAUUAGACUGAAGAUGAUAUGACUUUGACACUCAUUCAGCUGAAUUUCAUCUGAAAUGCUUUCCACAACUGAACAAUAUCAAGCAUUUGGCUCAUUUCCUGAUAUCAUUAAACAGCAAACUCAUUGCCGACUACAUUUAACUCAUUUUGUUGAUUUUCUUUUGUAAAGACAUAUAGAUUCAGGUUAUUUUAAGCUGGAUUUCCUUUCUUGUGUAUUUUUCUUUCCAGAGGUACUGAAUUUUGCUCACUUGAGAAACACAUGCAUCUGUGUGUUCAUGUGCGUGCACAUAAACACACAGACACAUACAAACAAGUAAGCCCUGAUAUCUCAUACAAUUUUGAGACGUAGAAUUCUUUUCAAUUGAAUUCCAUUUUAGUGGCCAGCUAAUUAAAUGCUACUAUCUGCUAUUUCAGGUUUAAGAGCUUUUAAAAAAAAUCAGAAGAAUCAUAUUUUUCAAACGAUAUCUGAUACAGAAGUUUGAUGUAAGGAAUGAGAAUAUUUUGAUUUAAAAGUGAGUGUAGGGCCAAAACUCCACAUUGUUGUACUUUCCAUUCUAUGCAGAAGCCUCUGAAGAUUGUAUAAUACAAGGAAGUAUUUUUCCUGGCAGUCCUUUCUAAGUGAAACAAUUCUGAGUGUGAUUGGUGGGAAUACAUUCUACAUGUUUAGAAUUCACCUAUAAUAGGAAAUGAGGAACUUCUCAUGGGUUAUCAGUGUUACAUUAGCUUAUUUUGGCAUUUUUCAUUUAUCAGCUCUGUCAGGAAUGUUUCCUAUCUAUUUCUCUGUUCUUAAUUUUCCCUUAGACCUUACCCACUAGCUCAACCAGAAAACUGAUCCACAGAGCUAGACACCCUAUGAGUGGAGUCACUGCUUCCCCUUUGUCCAUUCUCUGUCAUAUGAAGUAGGCUUCAUACAGACAAACAUACAGGGUUGUUUUAUCCACUAGGUAGAAAAGAGUCAGGGAUCAAUAAUCCCAGAUUAGAAAGGUGAGGAUAGGAAUGACCCAGCCUAUCCUUAUUUUAGGGAUUCAGACAGGGAUAUCCAGAUGUAUUGUCAUGGUGUCAUAUUUAUGAAUGGAUUCUUCUUCUAGAAAACAUAAUGCAGGCUUGCUCUCAGCACUAUAAUAUUUGACAGAGGAAAAUAAAAAUUGGAGGAAGUAGGCAUGAUAUUUAUGUAAAUUAUAUAAAUUCUUGUGUUACCUCCUAUCCUUAUUUCCUGCCUUCCCACAGCCCAGAAUAUUUCAGCAAGAUGUCUAAUGGUGACUGACAUUUAUUUCCAUACGUAUUAAAUUUUAAUACAAGUUCACUUAAUCAUGCAAACUAUGUCUUCAGUCUCUUAUUAUCCCUCUUGUUUUACUGAAUCGCCAGUAAAAUGGAUUGCUUGAUCAGCUGAAAAGCAGGGGGUACAAAAUAAAAUAACAUUUUAUUUUAUAGGCCUCUAACAGAGUUUGAGGCAUUUGUCUCACUUGCCAGCUAUGCAAAUCCAUGUUGAGAAUAAGCAUUCGUUCUGGUCAAGAUCCACCAGUAUCUACUUGAAGCUAUGGUUAAUGGGCCUAAAAUAUAUAUUUAAUAGCUGUGUGCUGGCCUUAAUUCUCUUGGUCCACAGCCCAUAGUUACCUUUAAUCUCUGAUGCUCUGUUAAAAAACAGAAACAUUUGAUAGUCACAUUUCAAGGUUCUAAAUGGAAUAAUAAGAUAAGGCUCAUAUCACUAUUCCUGCUAAAACCAUGUAACUGCAUAAAAAUAAGAAAAAAUUUUACAAAUUCAAAUUGAGGACGUUUUACAAAAUAGCUGGCCAGUGACCUUCAAAAGUGUCAAGGUCCUUGUAAUGGACUGAAAAUUUGUGUCCUUCCCCUCCAAAUUUAUAUAUCGAAGCCCUCCCCACCAGUGUAAGUUAUUGGGAGAUGGGGCCUUUGUGAGGAAAUUAGGUUUAGAUGAGGUCAUGAGGGCAUAAUCCCCGAAUGGAGUUAGUGUCCUUCAUUUUUUUUUUUUUUUUUUGAGAUGGAGUCUCACUCUGUCGCCUCGGCUGGAGUGCAGUGGAGCAAUUUCGGUUCACUGCAACCUCCGCCUCCUGAGUUCAAGCGAUUCUCCUGCCUCAUCCUCCUGAGUAGUUGGGACUACAGGUGCGUGCCACCACGCCCAGCUAGUUUUUGUAUUUUUAGUAGAGACAGGGUUUCACCAUGUUGGCCACGAUAGUCUCAAUCUCUUGACCUCAUGAUCUGCACUCCUUGGCCUCCCAAAGUGCGAGAUUACAGGUGUGAGCCACUAUGCCUGGCCUAGUGUCCUUCUAAGAAGAGGAAAAGAGAUUACAGCUCUCCCUCUUCACCAUGUAAUGACACAGUGAGGAGACAGGCAGCGGCAAGCCAGAAGGAGAGCUCUUACUAGGAACCAAAUUGCCUGGCACCUUGAUCUUGGACUUCCUAGCCUCCAGAACUGAGAGGUAAGUGUCAAUUGGUUAAGCUAUCCAGUCUAUGGUAUUUUGUUUUAUCAGCCUGAGCAGACUUCACACAGCCCUGAAAGCAAAAGAAGACUGAAGAACUGUCAAAUAUUAGAAAAGACAAAGGAGACAGGACAACUAAAUUCAACAGGGGUUUGGAGAGUCAAUCCUGUCUGAGGAGGAACAGUCAUAUGCAGGCCAAGUGCAAGAUGUUGAAUGAUGUCAUCAAUGAGUUAAUAUUACUGUAUUGAUGCUAUUUUCCUUGUUUACAAAAAUUGUUUUAUGUUUGCCUAAAAUAGGAAACAGCUAAAAAGGAGAGGAGAAUAUACUGGAAUGUACUGUGGAAACUCACAGAACUAAAAGUAUUAGGGAAGUUGAGGAUGGGUUAUGAAAACUCUCUUUAAUGUAUCUAUAAUUUUUCUGUAAAAAAUUAUCUCAAAGUAACAGGCUGAAACAAAGAAUGAAUGGGUAAGACUUCCACAUUUAAAUAGGAAAAAAAUUAAUUUUAAAUGAAAAAACUUCUGCUGGCAUCAUUACCAUUUAACAUUAUUUCAAAAGCUGUAAAUAAUGCAAUUUAGACAGAAAAACGAAGAGGCCUAACUAUUAGCACAAAAAAAACUUACAAAUUUUACAAGUGAUAUAGUCACAUAUUUUGCAUGCUUUAAAAAGUCAACUGAAAACUGCUAAAAUUAUAUGUAUCAUAUAAGCAAUAAUAUACCUAGUUAUAGGAGGAACACACUCAUGUAGGCUCAAGUAGAGCAUGCAACAAAUACAUUAGAGUAGUAUUCUCAUAUAGUUUGUAUUAGGUUGGUGCAAAAGCAAUUGCUGUUUUUGCCAUUACAUUUAAAUUGCAAAAACCUCAAUUACAUUUGCACCAACCUAAUAGAUUGGCACUUUUUGUUGUAACAAGCCAUAAGUGCUGGCAUGUGACCGUGACCCUGGCUUAAUGAAACUAAGGGUUCUGUUCCUAAUAUAUGGCAAACACACACACACACACACACACACACACACACACACACACACACACAGAGAGAGAGAGAGAGAGAGAGAGAGAGAGAGAGAGAACAACAUAAACCAGAUAAGGAUCAGAGCUUGAAAUGAAGCCAGUUCUAUGAAUCCCAAGUCUUUUUAUCUAGGGCUUUAAAGAGAAUAUAAACUUUUCCUCCUCCAAAAUUGCAUAGAUUACACAAUAGGUGCUUGAAUAUGGUAGUCGUAGUGGCAGGGGAUGGAGCCUAUGCCUGGAGUCACAACUACAGGCUCCCAUUUACCAAGAUUAAUCUAACUACUGUUACUGCCAAAUAUCUAACCUGACAUCAAUAGAAAUCAAUGAUAAGUUGCUGAUAUAACAUUAUUAACAAGAGAAACAAACCACAUAGUAGCAAAUUGGUACUAUAUCCUUUCUACUCUACACAAGGUAGUAAUUAAUUCAUUCUGACAAUAACCAACUCUUUUCACUGCAUGUCUUUGCAUUUCCUGUGCAUAGGGCACAUGCACAUGAACUCACAAAAUGUUCGAUCCACCAACACAGCACAAUAUAUUAAAAUACACCACAUCUUAAUAGCACAGAAGUUGCAGAAAUUAAUGCAUGAGAAUGGGAUGUGUUGGUCCUAUCAUAUACCAUAUAUGGAAUCACCCAGAAAUUAGCAGCAUACAGCAAUAAAGCAGUGGAAGAACAGCCUGACGAAGUUGCAGUGCAGGUGCCAGUUUUGAGAUGAUGCCCAUGAAGAUGAGUUGUCAUCUGACAUGAAACCACUCUAAAUUAAUAACCAUUAUACAGUCUGCAAGCUCAUUGUAUAAAAUAUAGCAAGGGUUAGAAACAGAUAUGGCUCCCAUUACCCUCACCCAAUGACCCCCAUGGGGAAUUUUUCCCUCAACUUGAGUCUCUGUUGAUUUAAUGGUUCUCUUUCCAGAAAAGAGAACACUUCUACCAGAGGAAACAAAAGUCAGUAAACUUUAAGCUAAAUCUGCUGCCCAGGAACUUUUGUUUUCUCUCUACAAAAAGUCAUCAGGUAAAAAGUAGACUACCUAUUCUAGCAAGGGCAAUUGGACCUGAUCUGCAGGUUGAGAUAGAACGGCUGUUAUGUAAUGAGAUAAGCAGGUAUUUGUUUGGUACUCAGAUGUGUCACCUGUCCAACUCUUAGAUUUUUCUUGUACAGUUUUAAGUAAUUUUUGUUGAAUUGUGUUGAAUUUAUAGACCAAAUUGGGGAGAAUUGAUAUGGUAUACAUCUCUGUCUACGGAGGUCUUUGAUUUCUUUCAUCAGAAUUUGUAACAUUCAGCAUAAAUAUCAUGCACAUAUUUUGUUUAGGUUUAUACCUAAAUGCCCCAUUUUGGGGGGGUGUUAUAAGUAGUAUUUGUGUUUGAUUUCAAAUUUCACUGUGAGCAUUUCUCAUAUAUAGGAAUAUAAUUGACUUACUGUGUAUUGGUCUUGAAUACUCUGACCUUGGUAAAUUAUUUAUUACGUUCAUCCUGUUUGGUGUCCUCUCACAUUAUUGGAUUUGGGGUUUAGCGUCUGCCACUAAUUUUGAAAAAAAUAAUGUUUGCUUUCGUGAUCAUUUAUUCAAGUAUUUCUUCUUCCACUUUCUCCCUUUAUUUUCCUGCUGAAUUACAAUUUUGAUUAUGUUAUGUCAUUCCAUAUUGUCUACAGGCAAUUCUUGGAAGUGUGAUUACUGUGUUUGUACUUUUUUUUCUAUUUACCACUACUUUUCUCAGCAUUCUUCAUUUCUGUUAUAAUGUUUUUGACUUCUAGCAUUUUCAUUAAUUCUUUUUUAUAAUUUUCAUCUCUCUCCUGAAAUUAUCUUUCUGAUCUUGUGUGCUGUGAAUGUUUUCCAAUAGAAACUUUAACAUGUCAUUCAUAGUUAUGUGAAACUUCUUGUGGAUAAUUCAUAUGCCUGGGUCACAUCCAAAUUGAGUUCUAGUAAUUUCUUUGUUCUUUUCAGACUCUGUUGUUUACUUACCUUUCAGUAUGCCUAAUAAAUGCUUGUUAAAAGCCAGAUGUGUUGUAUAGGACAAUAGAUUUAAGUAAUUUUUAUUCUUAAAGAUUAGCAUAACUUCUCUUGUCCUAGGUGUUAAUAUUUUAAAUAUUUUUAAUACUACAUCUAUCUAUCUAUCUAUCUAUCUAUCUAUCUAUCUAUCUAUCUAUCUAUCUAUCUAUCACAUUUAUUAACUGAUCAGUACCUGUUUGCCCUGUACUGUCCUUGGGAAUAAGUUAGGAUUAUUGAACAUAUCCCCUGAAUAUAAAAGAAGUUACACACACAAGAUCUUACUCAAGGAGCUCCCAUUCUGUUUAGAGAAACAGACCUGAAUGAAAUAAUUUCAGAAUAUUUACAAAAUGUUCUUCCACUAUCUUUAUGUAAAUAACAAAUUCUGAAGAGAAAACCAUAUAAGUGAGCUGGAAUAGUGAGAAAUGUCCUCACCUUUAGAAUACAUAGCCACCAGAAUCAGGGGAUAGGUUUCUAUUAGGUGGGGAGAUCUAGAACUUCAAGCCUGUAUUUCUGCUUUGUGAAUUUUAGGCUGUUGGGAUUGUCAGACUCACAGAUCUCAUUCAUAUUAGGGCACUAGAGCCUAGAAUGUGUUUCUAAAAACCACAUUUCUUAAACAUCACUCAGUUUAUAAAAAUUAUUUUUAAGGUUCCAUAUGCUAACUGCUGAAUCCUUUGACAUGGACUUUGAAUACUCCCUAUAAAGAAAUUUGCCACAUUCAAAAGUGGAUAUGUAAUUAAGAUAUUUCAAAUGCUAACUACUUGUGCAGUUAAAAUUAAUUUUGUUAUAAAAAUUAUCAAAAAUUUGAAAAUUUCAGCUAAAGGUGAAUGGCACGUUCUUUCAAUGUCAUAUAUGUAUGAAGGCCAUCCAAGUAUUUAUCAAGGGCAGAAGCUGACAAAUAUUUUCUGUAAAGAGCCAAAUAGCAAGUUCCUUUCCCAAUAAAACUUUAUUUGUUAUAGUAAAACAGAAAUCAGGCUGGUUUCAGCCUGAAGCUUGUAUUUACUCACUCUUGAUCCAGGCAUGGGCACUUUUGUGUCUUACUAUUUAACAUUGAUUAAAUUUCCCAGAAUUUUGAUGUUACAUGUUAACUUUUAGAGGUUGUCUGGUAUAGAUGAAAAUAAUUUAUUUCCAGUAUAAAUAAUAACUCCCCAAAAUACAAUUUAUUACACUGCAGGAAAUUAACCAGUUGUGUAUAUAAUACAAUAUAUACCAAGCUUCCCAAAUAUAUUAUUAUCCAACAAUUUAUAUGGAAUAUUUCAAAAUAACCACAGACAAAACAAAUAGCAUGCAAAUUAAAAGAGUGUGAUACUCUAAAUCAAGGAAUUAUUGAUAUCUGGUUUACUAUUCCCUAGCAGCCAAAAUAAAACAUUUAUUUCAUCUUGAUUUCUCUUCCAAGGUUAAUUGUAUUACUGACUUGUGCUUUGAUUUUGAUGAAGGAAGUUUGAUAUGCACCUCUCCAAAACUGUUCAAACAAUCCAUGUAUCAGAUAGAAAAGCAACUGAGAGUUGAGUGUUGUUGUAGGGAAUAGUGGAAAACCUUUCAUAAUCAAAGACAGAAAUUUAUCUCUGUCUCUGUCUCUUUCAUACACACACACACACACACACACAGAGAAAUAUACACAAAAAUCACAUAGAAAAAUGUGCAUUUUAUCAAUAGUUUACUAAUGUGAACUUUUCCUCCAACUCUCACGAUUUAAAUAUGAAUAGAAGCCAACACUUGAAUAAUAUCAACUACCCAUGGCAUCACUAAAUGCUGCUAAAAUGUUAUUUCUUUGAUUGCUAAAGAAAUUAAUGACCACCUUGAGUUGUAUUUUAAUAGCUGGCAUGUAUUUAAUAGCCUAAGAAAUAAUACUAUAACUGACACUAAUUUCUAUUGUUACAUUUAUUGCAAGGCUAAAAAUAAUGUUGCUAAGCAACAAUUUAAAAUAAAAGAAACUAAAAUGUAUUUUCCAUUCUAAAAACAUGAACAACUUGGCUAUACUAAAAACUUUUCAUUAAUUUAAUUGACCAGUUUUGUAACUGAUAACUGGAAGUCAUGAUAGAUUUCAUUCAAAUCCAAGAUUACCUGGACUGUUUUCAAAUCAUUUUUAUAGAAAAAACAAUAGUACAAUAGUUUAAAUAUAUAUAAUUGUAUUUGUUUAUUCAUUACUCCUCUGAGUGAACAUUAGUAUUCUACAGAGCUCUGGAGCAAUAUUGAGUAGUGGUCAUGGAGAUAUUUCAGCUCUACUUUCUUCUUUAAAGACUAUGCCUUUGUGCACAGCUCCCUUUCCUGAGGGACAAGGUGAUGUUGGCAGAGCAGCAGACAUGGAAAUCAUGUUGCAGUAACACAGAAAAUGAAGGAGUUCUUUGGGGAGAGACUGAAAGAAAACGUUGGGCUUAAUUACAGUUGAGUUAGAUACAACAAGGGAGAGGAAGGUUAAAAUAAAUAUUUGGUAUUGAUUCAUGGGUCAUUAUGAACAUUUCAAUACCUUUCAAUGAUACAAAAUUAUAGUUUUACAUAAAGAACAUUGCACAUAAGAAAUUAGUGUCCACAAAGCAAUCCAGACAGAAAUCAAUAUGUUUAAAGGUAUGUUGAAAAUAGAAUACUUAUACCCAUGAAAACAAAACAAAACAAAAACAAAAACAAAAUAAUCAGACUCUUGUAUUUUGUAUAAAGAUUUCAAAACAUGGGAGAAAUAGAUUGUUAUUACUGCAAAUAGCAAACCUUAUAUUACAUUUCUAUGUAGGUAAGUUAAAUGUUUAGAAAAAUGCUCAUGGAAUUGAUUAUGUUAAUAAGGGAACAUCUUAAGACUAAUUCAAAAAAUUUGGGAAUGCACAGGAAAUUGAACACACGACAGUGCUGAGAAAAGAGCCCAGAAUAGAAAGUAGUAUGACCUUAGGAAGUCAUGUGAGCACUAUGCUCCUUAGUUUGGUUCUCUGAAAAACAAAGAAGUUGAUUAAAGUAGUCAUUGGUAUGUUUUUUUUUUUUUCCAUCUUCCACCCUUUACUCCAUGCCAAUCACUAUCGCUUAAAUCAGUCUUAAAAUAGGCUGUCAUACACUGCCAUAGUUGCUUUAAUGAUUUAAUUUUAAUUUAAUAAUUUAAUUUUUGCAGUUAAAAAAUAUAUUGUAUUAUAUCUGUCUGAUGAUACCGCAACAUAUUGCAUUGUAUCUCUCUCUUCCUGUAUGUCUUAAAAAAUUUUGUUAAACAUAAGAAAAGUUAAACCUAAGAAGAAAUAUCCUCUCCAUAAGUAAUAUUUUGUUUCCUGUUCUAAAAGCAAAGUAAAAUACAAUUUUAAUGAAAAAUUUCCAGCACCAACAAUUAGAGAAAAUAUCUGUUUCCAACAUUCAUAAUAGCAAACCUUAAGAUAUUUCCUUCAGAUCAAAAUGUUUAAAGAUGAAUUCCAGUUUAAAGCCCUUAACCUAUGAACCUACUAUUUCCCACCCUGUGAGGCAUCUUUCAUUAGAGAAAGCCAUUAUCCCAAAAUUGGAGUGUAUCCUCUGCCUCUAUGCUUGUUACUCUCCUAUGCUGAGUUUUAACACAAAUUUUAUUAUGGGCUUUUUGAAUUAUUUUAAAACUUAAUGUAACUGUCAUUAUGCUAUAUCAUUCUUCAACUUGAUACUUUUAAGUCACAUUUUUGCAAUGAAUCUAUGGUAAAACAUAUAACUUCUAAAAUGACCAUAUAGUUCAUUACAAUUUCUUAUGUAAAUAUAAUAUGUUAUACUUCCUUGUGUAAAUAUAGUACAUUAUAUUUCCUUGUCUAAAUAUAGCACACUUUUCCCAUUUGUUACCUAUUGUUUCCAUUUCAUUUAGCAUUGAUGACAUUCAUGAACAAUUGUUUUCAGAAAUUAUGAACCAAUGUAAAACCAUGUAUAUUUAUAGAAUUCGCUACACUAAUAACAUAAUAAUCAAAGGACCAUGUCUUUCCUCAGUUCUUCUAGGUAUCGAUAAAUUGCUUUCCAAAACUGCUGGACUAAUGAACACUUCCCACAUUUGUGUAUGAAACUCUCUGUUUCUCUACAAUAUACUAACCAUUUAGUAUUGAUUUUUCACUGAUUUCAUUAAGUGUCACUAAAUGUCAAUAGAUGUGCAAUAGUAUGAUUUGUUCUUAAUUUGUAUUUACCUGGUUACUAGAGAGUUUGAGCUUCAUCCUUAAAUAUUUCAUGAGGUCCACCAAACAAUUCUUAAAGAUGAAAUACUAUCAAUAUUUCCAUUCAAGUUAGCAAUAAAAAGAAAUGCAAAUGCUCCUUUACUUAUGAGUGGAUUGCAUUCUGAUAAACUCAUUGUAAGCUGAAAAUAUUUUGAACUGAAAAUGCAUUUAAUACAUCUAACUUCCCAAACAUCAUAACCUAGCUCAUCUUAAACAUCUUCAGAAUACUUACAUUAGUCUCCAGUCAAGCAAAAAUCAUCCAAUACAAAGCCUAUUAUAUGAGAAAUUGCUGAAUAUUUCAUGUAAUUUAUUGAAUAGUGUACUAAAAAUAAAAAACAGAAUGGUUCUAUGGGUACUUGAAGUAACAGUAACAAAGUAACAGAUUUAAUAUUGCUUAGUAAUAGAUAAAAUUGCUAUGUGAUUUUAUACCUAGAAAAUUCAACAAAUAUGAGUAUUGUUGCUUAUAAUAUGUAAAAACACAUUUUAAAGAUAUGGUGACUAAAAGGUAUUUUUAGUGAAAGCAUAGCCAGAUAAUUAUAGACCUAUGAUGAUAGCAGACUUUAGUGUGUAUACAUUUGACAUUUAAAAUCAUUGAAAUAUGAUUCACUAUUCACAAAAUAAUAAUGAACCAAUUUGCUCAUCCAACUGAAAAACAAAAAUAAAACUAUAAUUUUCUUUCACUACAAAAAAACCGCAUUCAUUAAAUUUCCAAGUAAAAAUUUACACACAGACAAAAAACUGAAUUAAAACACAGUUAUGAUUUAUAUUAUUUUUUAAACAAUAAAAAAUAAAAUUCAGAGAGCUUGAAACAAAUGUUUUCAGGUCAUCUCUAAAUAUUUUAACAAUGUACAGGAAAAAACUAAGAGAAAUGUUUGAAACAUAUCAUUAUAAAAUGAUUAAUGUACACAGAAAAAAGAACUACCACAAGCAAGACAAUAGAUUAUUAAGUAGAGGAAUUGCACAAGCAAUUCACAGAAGAAGUAACUCAAAUGGCCUAUGAGCAUAUGAACAAUGCCAAAUACCUUUAGUAAUCAGUAAAAUGAAAUUAAAAUAACCAAAAUAUCUAAUAGUUUGCCCACCAUGUUAUCACUCUUCAUUUGUUAAUAUUACAUUUAACAGUAUGUGGGGAAAAUUAUACUUUCAUAAAGUUCUAUUAAUAUGUUGUGGAGGACAAUUUGAGAGCCCUCAGAACUUAAAUGUAAAUAUUCAAAAUUCAACAGUUUGAUUUCCUAUGGAAAUAUAUUUACAUUUAGACAAAAAGAUAUGUAGAAAUGUUUAAUUGCAUCUUUUACUGUAAUAAUAAACUAUUGGAUAUUAAUGUAAUUUUAUUAAUAGAAAAAUGGUUAAGUGAUUUAUGGCACAUCCAAUUCAAGCAGAUGUUAAAUGUGAUAUAGCUGUUAAGCAUAUUAAUCUUUAUUGUAGUGACCAAAAAAUAUGUUGAAAACACUCGUACUGAAUAAAACAAAUAUAAUGAGUAACAGUGGCUUUUUCUGAGAAAAGGACUGGAAUUAUGAAUAAUGCUUGGUGAGAGAGAUUUUGAACAUUCUACUCUGUACACUCAAUUUUUAGAAUAACUUUUAAUCUACCUUUGUAUUACAAUACAUGUACAUUAAAAUAGUCAGUUUCAAAAGAUAUAUCUGAAACUAUUCAUGAACAUUUAGAUAAAGUUAAUAUUAUCUUGCAACUCUGAUCUUGUGUAUAUUAUCUGAUAAUAUUAUUCAUGCAACCUGUAGGAAUCAAAAAUUCAACCCUGAUAACUUUUGACUCAUUAAUUUUAACUUUUUAUUUUGAGAUAUUGUAGAUACAUAAGCAGUUAUAAGAAAUAAUACAGAUAGAACUCAUAUGUCCUUCACCCCCAAUGGUAAUAUUUGCUUAGCAAUUGACUCAUUAAAUUUUAUAUGAAAAAAAUGCUUAGUGCAUUUCUUUACAGGAAAAAUACAUUUUCAAUUACUUUCUCAACUUAUAAAAUGACUUUGGAUUAAAAAUAGAGGUACAUAGAUUUAUGUCUUAGCUUUUGGUAAGGAUUUUUAUAUGUAUUCAAAUAUUGCAGGAAGAUAUUAUAUGAAACCAAUUUUCUUUAAUUCAAUAGUUACCAAAAUUUCAAUUGUGCACCACUAUUAAUAAAAAAUAUAUAAAAUGCAUAUAUGUGCUAGAGUACUAACAAUAGUUAAAUUACAGACAUAAAAUAGAAAAAUGAGAUGAAAAAUACAUUAACAUAUUUGGCAAAUACUGUUUAUUGUACCUAAAUAUGAUAUGAAUUUUAUUAAAAGUAUUAUUUUACGCUUUUUUAAUAUGCUUAAUUAUAUUUGAAAAUCUUGUUUUAUUCUUUUGAAAUAAAGCAGUUCAAACAUGCAUACCUGUUAGAAUUGGAAAAGGAAAAAGUGUCUCCACAAAACAAAAGCACCUUAUUUCUGUGUUUUUGAAUGUGUGUACAUGUGAGUACUUAAUUAUCAUCACAAAAAGAUGGAGGUUGAAGACAAAAAAAAAGAAGAGCAAAUUGAUAGAAUGAAGUCCCAGAGGAUGUAGAAGAAAGAAGGGUUCUGAUGCAUGAUUCUUGGCUAGGAGGAGCACUGCUUCACCUGAAAGAGAAGAAAGGGGAUUUUGAAAGACAGGUAGAUGUAGAUGUUGUGACUACUUCACUUUAGACAAAGUUUCUCAUCUUACUUGAGAAAAAAACAAAUGCUGGCUUUCAUCAGAUUUAAGCAGAAAAAGGGGAGUCCACUGAAUCUAUAGUUUAUCCAUUUUUUGCAACAGAAAUUUAAUUUAUAAAGUUUUAAUAGGCCAGAUGUUUAUGGCUUAUUGUAUUAUAAUUGUUUAUUGGUUCCAGCUCUUGUAAGCACGGUUACUUGAUGAGACCGAGAUCUUCAUAAUCUAUAUUCUAACGAACUAUGUGCUAACAACACUGAUGUCUAAACAGAACUGGAAGUUUAACAUUACAAGAUGAAGAUUUCACAUAUUCUUUUUUUUCUUUUUUUUUGGUCUGCUUAUAUACUCCUGUUUGCUUCAUUCGUCACAAGUUAGAUUCUUUGAAGGCACGUGUUGAAAGAUGUUUAUUAUGAACCAAAACCUGUGAAGGGAAGAGGAGGAAGCAGGAUUGUGCAGAGAAAGAAGUUCAAGAGUUGUGCAGGCUCAGCAAACCUCAAUCAACUUAGUGGGAAGCUCAAAAGUGAGAUUUCUCAUCCCAGAGUCCUGGUUUGGUUGGGAUGGCCAGGCCUUUAUAUCCCUGCUUCAUUUAGUCACUCCAUGUAAGCUGCCCUGGGAAGGACGUGACUUCUGCCAAUGCUGUAGCUGAGGAAGCCCUUAAGGAAGUAGCUACAGAGCUCUGUGAUUCUAUCUUUAGAGCAUAGACAGAGCAUAUCCACCAAUUGUUGACCUAUGAAGUGUUAUAUAUAUAUUGAAUAUGCCUAGUCAGGCUACAUCAAUUACAUUCCCUAGCUAAAUAUUAGAACUUUAUUUUGCUAUCGUUUGCACAUCGUGUCCUCCUCACCACCCCGUCUCCUACCUUUCAGUGCCAAAACCAAAAUAUGCCAAAUUAUUCCCUAAAUCACAUCAGGGCAUUUGACUCUCAAAAUUCAAGAAAAGGACAUACAGUCUUCUCUUUACAUCUGAGAUUGCCGCAUCCAUGGAUUCUGCCAAUUGCUGAUCAAAAAUAUUUUGGAAAAAAAUUUUACAAAAUUCCAAAAAACAGAACUUGAAUUUGCUGUGUGCUGAGUAUGACAUUGAAUUCAUGUGAUGAAGCAAUGUUGGGCAUUGCAUUAGCAGUUAUAAGUAACCUAGUGAUGAUCUGAAGUAUUCAGGAGGAUGUGUAUAGGUCAUAUGCAAGCACGACACCAUUUUAUAAAAGGGACUUGAGCAUCCAGAAAUGUUGGUAUCUGCAGGGGUUCUGGAACGAAUCUCUCAUGGAUACUGAGAGACAACUGUAUUCUCAUGACACAGAGGUAACUUUGGACUCAGCGAUUAAGUGAUGAGUCAGACAUAUUAACAAACCUGGACAGAAAACAUAAAAGCAGGACACCAUAUGGACCUAUAGAAUCAGGCACUCUUAGGGUCAACAGGGCAGAUGUGUGUCAAAACAUACAAACAAAAAGUUCCUCAGUUUGAUUGGAAUGACUAAGAAACCCCUAUUCCAUAAUAAGCUGUAUAUAAGUUAUGAAGAAGUAAGUUCUGAAAGUGUAAUUAAGCAUGGAGAUUUGGGACAGCUGAUAAAACAGAACAACCUGAUGGAGGUUAGUACAGUUGCCUUGACCUCUUUCCUGGUGGCACUUUUGGAAGGAGAUGAUUUUGCCUCCCAUAUGCCAUAAAAAAGCGCAUAUAGCAUAAAAAUAUAAUAUAGAAGUGAGAGUAAUAUGUACAAAGGAAUCCAAUCUGUGCCAGACAUGAAGUAACUUGACCAGGAAAAUGUCAGAAACAAGACUGGGAUGUAAAAGGUGAGUAAAGCUCUCAGGAUAAGGAUUUGUAUCUAUGCUCACCUUGGUUCUCUCUUGCACAUAUCAGGGCAUCAAUAAAUAUUUAUGAGAAGGAGUUACAAGGAAGUAGAACAGGUAACUAAGUUCAUGAAGAAGUGGAGGUAGCACUGACUGCAGGUACGUGGCAGCACCCAUCUGCUGUACCGAUGCCUGAUGGUGGAUUGGACAGAAAACGUGGGAGGCAAAAGUCAUCUCCUUCCAAAAGUGCCUCCGGGAAAGAGGCCAAGGCAACUUUGCCAGGACUACUCCUAACCUCCAUCAGCAGGCUCACCAGCACAUUGAGUUUCCUAGUUUAACAAGAAAGCAUCUGCAAAUGUGUAGCGAGAUGAUUGAACUACAUUUUAUGAUUUAAAAUAAACAUUGAAUAUUUCUAAUAAAAAAUGAAUUUAUAUAAUGUCUGUUAUGCAACCUUGGCCAAUUGUGUUUACUACACGUUUCCUUAAACAUGCCAGAACAGAAAUAUUUUCUGUAAACACUUAAUUACAGAAUAUUUUUGAAUUGACCCGAAUUUUCAGUAAAUUAAAUGUGAGUAAUCUAUGCAAUUUUUAAGAUUCAAAUGUUUUAUUUAGCUCUAAUUAUUUAGGCAGAAUAAACUUGAAAGUAACAAUUUAAUACAUUAAUUUUCUAUUUCAGAUUAUAAAUUCCUUGCUUACUCAUAGCAAAAAAUUUGAAACAUAAUUAUGUAAUAAUUGCCUUAAAUUUGUUCUUUAUUUUUCCUGUGUCAUCAGAGACUUGAUGUUAUUAUGGCAUUCUGUAACUAAAGUUAAAUAUUUUACUUUAACAGAAAACUCAUGUUAAUCCUCUUUUCCCAAAACAUCUUUCCAUAAACACAAAUUUUCUUCCCUUCCUCUUGUUUUGUCCUUUUCUUCUCUCAGAUUCUGUUUUUCUCUCUCUCUUAUACAAACACACACAGCUCACACACACACAAAGUCAUUUUGUUACUAUAUAGUAGAUGGAGUACUCAUUUUAAUUCCAGGGCAUAGCCUAUUGUAUUAGUCAGGGUUUUCUAAAGGUGCAGAAGUAAUAGGAUAGAUGUGUAUAUGAAGGGGAGUUUAUAAAGGAGUGCUGACUCACACAAUCCAAGGUGAAGUCCCACAAUAGACCACCUGCAAGCUGAGGAGCAAGAAAGCCAGUCCAAGUCCAAAAAACUCAAAAGUAGGGAAGCCAACAGUGCAGCCUUCAGUUUGUGGCUGAAGGCUUGAAAGCUCCUGGCAAACCACUGGUGUAAGUCCAAGAAUCCAAAAGCUGAAGAACCUGGAGUCUGAUGUUUGAGGGCGGGAAGCAUCCAGCAUGGGAGAAAGGUAAAAGCCUGAAGACUCAGAAACUCAAGUCCUUCCACAUUCUUCUGCCUGCUUUAUUCUAGCCACACUGGCAGCUGAUUAGAUGGUGCCCACCCAGAUUGAAGGUGGGUCUGCCUCUCCUAGUCCACUGACUCAAAUGUUAAUCUCCUUUGGCAACACCCUCAUAGACACACCCAGGAACAAUAUUUUGCAUCCUUCAAUCCAAUCAAGUUGACAACUCAAUAUUAACCAUCACACCUAUUAAUAACACUGGGUGCAUGUAUCAGGCAGCACCAUGUUAACUAAAGGCUUUGCUUUAAUCCCAUAAAGUCCUCACAGUAAUUCCAGGAGCAAACAUUAUUGUUCUUUUUUCACAGAUGAGGAAAAUAAAGCCCAGAGUGUUCCAGUGAUGGGCCUCGAUUCACUCAGCUUCAAGUCGGCCAGACUCCAAUGCGCAGGCUCAAUCAGUCAGACUUGGUAUUUGUCUUUCUGGAUCAUGCUGGGGUAUGAUUCUCAUUGCGGACAGAAUAACAACAAGAAGACCUUGAGAAUAAGCAUCAAUUUGUGAGCCCCAAGGGCGAAGAAGCUUUCCUGAAGCAACAACAGGAACAGGAAGCAAAAAGGAUUUGAAAUGAAAUAGCAAGGGUUGUGGAGGCUUGGAAGUCUAGGAUCAAUGUGCCAGCAACUGGCAUCUGGUGAGGCCCUUCUUGUUGCAUCCUCACAUGACAGAAGAAAGAAGGGCAAACGAGAUGAACUCUGUGUCUUCAUAUGGCAGGAGAGCAGAAGACAACAAAUCCACUCCUGUAAGCCCUUUUUAUUAAAGGCUUUUAUCUAUUUAUAGUGGUGGAAACUACAUAAUUUAAACACCUUCCAUUAAGCCUCACCUUCCAACACUGUUGCAUUGGGAAUUAGGUUUUCAACACAUGAAUUUUAGA